rnacentral:lncRNA from 1 species
CUGUAAUGAGGUCCAGCCAGCUCAUUCUUCACAAGCUCCCCAGAGGAUGCUGACGGUCCAGGAACACUGCUCCCUGACCACCUUCCCAAAAGACCAAAGCUUCAAGAAACAAUGAAAAGGAACAUCUAUCCAGCUCCCUGGUAGUCAAAGAGGAGGAGGCUCAGAGUGGUUAUGGCACCUGCCAAAGGUCACACAGCUGGUACAUCUGGAGCUCUGCCCCUGGGAGCCAAGCAUGCCAAGCUUUAUUAGAGACCUGAGCUCUUGAAGGAACUGAGACCUCAGUUGGUGAAAUGCCUCCCCCAAAGUGAACACAAUACCCUCGUCUCGAAGCCAUCCUCGAUGUUCACAACUUCCUGAGUGUAAGUCACAAAACAUUAUUUUUCAGCCUGGCAGUGUAUAGAAAUAAGAGCACAAGGCUAGAAGUCGGGAAAC